rnacentral:lncRNA from 1 species
CACAUAUAUAUAUAUAUAUAUAUAUAUAUGUGUAGGUGUAUACAUCUCAAUAUAUAUAUACACACACACACACAUAUAUAUAUAUAUAUAUAUAUAUAUAUAUAUAUAUACAUACAUGUAUACAUUUAGGGGUCGGGUGGGGAAGAAUGUGUAGUUGUUCCUACUGUUCUGUUCCGAUUGAUAUUUCCUCUUCCCCUUGUCUCCCCCUCCUCUUCCUCGAUCACCACCACCAUCAUCAUCAUCGUCAUCAUCAUCACGAACAGCAUCGUUCUUUCAUUGUCUCCUCUCCGUUCACUCACCUACCCCGCUCCCCGCCGCCAUUUUCCUUCCUAUUGUUGAACGUUCAGUGAAUGCUUAGCGUACAAUUCUUUACCUAUUUCCAGUGUGAGUGCGCGCACUUACACAUGCGCGCACACACACACACACACACACACACACACACACACACACACACAUAUAUAUAUAUAUAUAUAUAUAUAUACGUAGGUAAUUAUAUACAUACACACAUAUGUCUGUGUGUGAGAGUGUGUAUUAGUAUAGAUAUGUGUGUAUAUAUAUAUAUAUAUAUAUAUGUAUAUGCGUAUGUAAAUGUAUAUAUAUUUGUGUGUAUACAUACAUAUGUAUAUGUAGAUAUAUAUAUAUAUAUAUAGAGAGAGAGAGAGGGGUGUAUGCGCAUCGAUAUAUAUAUAUCUAUAUAUAAAUAUAUAUAUAAUAAUAUUUGUGUGUGUGUUUGUAUAUAUAAAUGUAUGUUUGUAUAUAUAGAGAUAUAUUCAUGUAUAUUUGUAUAUGUGGAGAUAUGUAUACACUUGCGUCAGAAAUUAAUUAGCACUUCUCAAAUUUCUACAUUAAAUAGGUUAAAUCAAUUAACCUAUGAGCUGUUCAAAACGUCUUACGCGAUGAGAAAACUUAGUAUGGUGUGAUUUCGGUCCUUGCGAGGCGCUACCUAUAUCUAUUAAACAAAGGAAGAUUUGUCUGCAUCCGCACUCCAAGUUGUUGUUGCACUGCUAUGUCAACAUCAUAAGGCUGUAGACUCUCAAACUGCUCUGCAAACAAAGUUACGUCAUCGUUCUGCGCAACAGUGAACUCGCAACAAAGCAAUAGUUCGAGAUAUGGCCACUAGGUGACAGCACAUACCUUGAGUGAAGAGCAAAUCAAGGGUGCUAAUUAAUUUCUGACGGUAGUGUAUAUAGGUUUGUACGUAUAUAUGUAUGAAUAUGUAUAUUUGUGUGUGUGUGUAUAUGCAUAUAUAUAUAUAUAGAUAUAUAUGCAUAUACACAAGUAUAUAUAAUUAUGUAAAUAUAAUCAUAAUAAUGAGUUUAAUACUCAAAUAACUCUUCAUCAGUUGUCGUCUGUCUGUCUUCUCCCCAUUCCGAGCAAUCAACGACACUAAAGCGUUCUUACUUUCUCUAAAUCUGCUGCGAUUUUCUCGCGUCUCUCUGUCUCUCUUUCUCACUCUGUCUGUGUGUCUAUCUAUGUGUGUCUCUCUCUAUCUCUCUCCCUCAGUUUCUUUGUAAUUCGCUCUCGAAAGUUAUAUGGCGGUGCCCCAGCAUGGCCACAGCUCAUAAGCUGAAACUAGAAUCAAUCAAUCAAAUCCUUUCUUUUGCCCCUAUGCCUUCUGUCUCAUACCCUUUCACUCACUCUCUCUCUCUCUCUCUCUCGCUUCCUAAUCCCUUCUUACUCUCCCUCUCGUAUCUCUCAGACUUUUCUCCCUCCUCUCAUAACUUCUCUCUCUCUCUCUUUCAUCCCCUCGCUCUGUCUCUCUUUUGUCCUUCCUUCUUUCUCUCAUAACAUCUCUCUCUCUCUCUCCCCCUCUCUCGUAUCUGGUCAUUUUCUCACUUAUCCCCACUUUAACUCUCUCUCUCUCACUCCCUCUCUCUCUAUCACAUACUCCUUCUUUCUCAUCCCCUUUCACUGUCUCUCUUAUCCCCUCUUACUCUCCCUCCUCAGAUAACUUCUCUCUCUCUUUCAUCCUCUCUUUCUGUCUCUCAUACUUCUCCUUUUGUCCUUCCUUGUUUCUCUCAUAAUCUCUCUCUCUCUCUCUCUCGUAUUUGUUCACUUUCUCACUUAACCCCACUUUAAGUCUCUCUUUCUCACUCUCUCUCUCUUACAUCUCACACUCUGUCUCUCUCAUACUCCUUCUCUCACAUACUCCUUCUUUCUCAUCCCCUUUCACUGUCUCUCUGAUCCCCUCUUACUCUCCCUCUCCCCUUCCAUCUCAUAUCUCUCACUGUCUUUCCUUGUCUACCACUCUCAUAACUUAUCUCCCUUUCAUAUUACUCUUCUCUCUCAUACUUGCUCUCCUCCCUAACUCUCUCCCCCAAUCUCUCCCACUUUCAAAUUCUCUCUCUCUCUCUCUCUCUUCGUUCCAUAUAUCACUCAUUCACUCUCACUCAAGUUCAUACUUCCACUCCAACUCACACUACCGCCUACUCAACUCCCCACACCACUCCACUCCACUCCACUCCACUCAACUCAACUCCAUAAAUCAUUAUUUCCGUCUCACCUUCCAAACUUCCACGAUUCACUCAAUACCUAUUUCUUUACUACCCACAAGGGGCUAAACACAGAGUGAACAAGCAAGGACAAACAGACGGAUUAAGUCGAUUAUAUCGACCCCAAUGCUCAACUGGUACUUAAUUUAUCGACCCCGAUGGGAUGAAAGGCAAAGUCGACCUCGGCGGAAUUUGAACUGAGAACGUAACGGCAGAAAAAAUACCUAUUUCUUUACUACCCACAAGGGGCUAAACACAGAGGGGACAAACAAGAACAGACAUAGGGAUUAAGUCAAUUACAUCGACCCCAGUGCGUAACUGGUACUUAUUUAAUCGACCCCGAAAGGAUGAAAGGCAAAAACGACCUCGGCGGAAUUUGAACUGAGAACGUAACGGCAGACAAAAUACCUAUUUCUUUACUACCCACAAGGGGCUAAACACAGAGGGGAAAAAUAAGGACAGACAUAGGGAUUAAGUCAAUUACAUCGACCCCAGUGCGUAACUGGUACUUAUUUAAUCGACCCCGAAAGGAUGAAAGGCAAAAACGACCUCGGCGGAAUUUGAACUGAGAACGUAACGGCAGACAAAAUACCUAUUUCUUUACUACCCACAAGGGGCUAAACACAGAGGGGAAAAACAAGGACAGACAUAGGGAUUAAGUCAAUUACAUCGACCCCAGUGCGUAAGUGGUACUUAUUUAAUCGACCCCGAAAGCAUGUAAGGCAAAGUCGACCUCGGCAGAAUUUGAACUGAGAACGUAACGGCAGACAAAAUACCUAUUUCUUUACUACCCACAAGGGGCUAAACACAGAGAAGACAAACAAGGAUAGACAGUCGGAUUAAGUUGAUUAUAUCGACCCCAGUGCGUAACUGGUACUUAAUUUAUCGACCCCGAGGGGAUGAAAGGCAAAGUCGACCUCGGCAGAAUUUGAACUCAGAACAUAGCGGCAGAUGAAAUACCUAUUUCUUUACUACCCACAAGGGACUAAACACAGAGGGGACAAACAAGGACAGACAUAGGUAUUAAGUCGAUUACAUCGACCCCUGUGCGCAACUGGUACUUAAUUUAUCGACCCCGAAAGGAUGAAAGGCAAAGUCGACAUUGGCGGAAUUUGAACUCAGAACAUAAAGACAGACGAAAUACCGCUAAGCAUUUCUCCCGGCGUGCUAACGUUUCUGCCAGCUCGCCGCCUUCACUCAACACAGCUUCAACUUCACUUACACUCAACACUGAACACUCAACUGCUGCUGCCGCUGCUGCUGUUGCUGCUGCAUGCUUCGGUGCAUUCUGAUUGAUACAAUUAAUCAAUCCUGCCGAAAACAACAGCAAUCUCAGCAAAAUGAAUCGCCAGACAACGUCAGACUUUUUCUGCCAAUCGUUUUCCGAUCGUGGCGGAAGUCGGUUUCCACUCCGCUCUCCCUGCACUCAACAGUCAUCACCAGCGCCGCCAACACCUCUCCCACUACACACUCACACGUGUGUAUAUAUAUAUAUAUAUAUAUAUAUAUAUAUAUAUAUAUAUAUAUAUAUAUAUAUAUACGUAUGUAUAUAUGUGCGUAUACGUGUGUGUAUAUAUAUUCGUGUAUAUAUGUAUGUAUAUAUACGUGUGUGCAUAUAUAUUCGUGUAUAUAUGUAUGUAUACUCUUUUACUCUUUUUCUUGUUUCAGUCAUUUGACUGUGGCCAUGCUGGAGCACCGCCUUUAAUCGAGCAAAUCGACCCCGGGACUUAUUCUUUUGUAAGCCAGUACUUAUUCUAUUGGUCUCUUUUGCCGAACCGCUAAGUAACGGGGAUAUAAACACACCAGCAUCGGUUGUCAAGCAAUGCUAGGGGGACAAACACAGACACACUAACAUAUAUAUAUAUAUAUACAUAUAUACGACAGGCUUCUUUCAGUUUCCGUCUACCAAAUCUACUCACAAGGCAUUGGUCGGACCGUGGCUAUAGUAGAAGACACUUGCCCAAGGUUCCACGUAGUGGGACUGAACCCGGAACCAUGUGGUUGGUAAACAAGCUACUUACCACACAGCCACUCCUGCGCCUAUACAUAUAUAUAUAUAUAUAUAUAUAUAUAUAUAUAUAUAUAUAUUUAUAUAUAUAUAUAUAUAUAUUGUGUUGUGUUGUGACCCCCCUUCGGUCAUGAAUGACCAUGGGAUUGCACCUAGAAAGUUAUCUUCCGAGGCACAAGUCUGGGCAAGGUUGUUUAUGGACGACCAACAGUUGCCCAGGCAUACCAGCCUCCCCUUUCCACCCCACUGAUGUUAUCCAAGGGAAAGGCAAAGGGGCCGAUACAGCUUGGCACCAGUGACGUCGCAGCUCAUUUAUUAACGUAGAAGUGGCUGAGCACUCCAUAGACACAUGUACCCUUAACUUAGUUCUCGGAGAGAUUCAGCGUGACACAGAGUGUGACAAGGCUGGCUCCUUUGAAUUACUGGAACAACAGAAAUGGGAAAAAAGAGUGAGAGAAAGUUGUGGUGAAAGAGUACAGCAGGGUUCAUCGCCAUCCACUGCGGGAGCUUCGUGGAGGUUUUUGGGUGUUUUCGCUCAAUAAACACUCACAAUGCCCGGUCUGGAAAUCGAAAUCGCGAACCUAUGACCGCGAGUCCGCUGCGCGAACCACUAGGUCAUUGCACCUCCACACACACACGUAUAUAUAUAUAUAUAUAUAUAUAUAUAUAUAUAUAUAUAUAUAUAAAUGUGAACGCGUGUGUACCGUUGGCGAUUUGUUUCCUCCGUCUUCCCUUCUCUGGAUCUUUCGUUUUCCUAUGUUUCCAGCGAAGAGCUCCGCUCGAAACGUUGAACCCUCCUUCUUUCCUUCUUUCCUGAGCGUCCAAUAAUACUAUAUUUGUUCCACGUCCUCGCGUUGUUGUGUUUUUUCUGUGCUUUUCAUGUUUGGAUUACUCUUUUCUCUUUUACUCUUUUACUUGUUUCAGUCAUUUGACUGCGGCCAUGCUGGAGCACCACCUUUUAGUACUUAUUCUAUCGGUCUCUUUUUGCCGAACCGCUAAGUGACGGGGACCUAAACACACCAGCAUCGGUUGUCAAGCAAUGCUAGGGGGACAAACACAGCCACACAAACACACGCAUACAUAUAUACAUAUAUACGACAGGCUUCUUUCAGUUUCCGUCUACUAAAUCCACUCACAAGGCAUUGGUCGGCCCGGGGCUAUAGCAGAAGACACUUGCCCAAGAUGCCACGCAGUGGGACUGAACCCGCAACCGUGUGGUUGGUUAGCAAGCUACUUAUCACACAGCCACUCUAUAUAUAUAUAUAUAUAUAUAUAUAUAUAUAUAUAUAUAUAUAUAUAUAUAACAAUAUAUUUAUAUAUUACUUUAUACUAUAUUUUUAUGUAUUUAUUUUCUAGGUGUUGUAAUGUUUUUUUUUUAAAUAUAUAUUUCUUAAUCGCUAAAGUAUUAACUUUUAACCGUGUUGAACUGUAUUCACGCAUUUUUCUCGCACUUUCUUAUAUGCUUGUACAGAUGAGUUAUGUUUCAUCUUCCGUGAUGUUAUAAAUGUAUAUUCUAUGAUUAAAUGUUCGAGAUAUGAAAUGUUAUGUGGAUGACCUUGCAUUUGUUUGUUCUGUAACCUUAGUUUCAUAUAUAUAUAUAUACACACAUUGUUUGAAAUGUUAUUGAACGACCGAAUACUUUGGGCAUUGUGCUCUCAAUCUCACUCUCCAGUGCCAACACACACACGACAAUACAUACAUACGCACUUGUGACUGAUUCGCUAAAAAGGCUUAAUGAUACCAAAACAUACCCGUUGUUCUUCACACACUUUCGAAGACAAAAUUCGCUCUACUCAGAAACUGAAAGACAGCGAAAAGCCAUUAUCACCGGAAGUCACAUCAUAUAUUCCAUGACAUGCGGGUUUGAUAGGUUUGACAAUUUUAGGUAUCUUUCUCGGAAGAAACGCCUCAAAGUUUGAUCGAUGAAUGCGAUUAUAAGAAUUGCUGGAAGAUAUAAAAGAUGCAUAUCUGGAUUGUAACCUAACCGGAGGAGAGUAUCUAUCUAUCUAUCUAUCUAUCUAUCUAUCUAUCUAUCUAUCUAUCUAUCUAUCUAUCUAUCUCUGUCUAUCUAUCUAUCUAUCUCUAUUUAUCUCUAUCUAUCUAUCUAUCUAUCUAUCUAUCUAUCUAUCUAUCUAUCUAUCUAUCGAUCGAUCUAGUCCCUACUUAUCUAUCUACCAUCCAUCUAUUGAUCUAUUUAUCUACUUCAUCUAACCAUCUAUCUAUCUACCUACCUACCUAUAUAUCUAUCUAUUAGAUUUAUCUAUCCAUAUAUCUACUUACUUACCUACCUACUUACCUAUCUACCUACCCACCAACAUGCCUACAUACCUUCUUACCUACCUACCUGCAUAUCAAGCUAGCCAGGUAGAUAAUCCCCUAUCUAUACAUCCGUCUACAUCUCUGUCUAUCUGCCGAUUUGUUUCUCUAUCUAUUUAUCUAUCUAUCUAUCUAUCUUUCUAUCUAUCUAUCUAUCUAUCUAUCCAUCUAUCUAUCUAUCUAUCUAUCUAUCUAUCUAUCUAUCUAUCUAUCUAUCUAUCUAUCUAUCUAUCUCUAUCUAUCUCUGUUUGUCUGUCUGCCUGCCUGUCUAUCUGUCUGCCUGUCUAUCCGUCUGUCUAUUUAUCUACCUGUCUGACAGUCUGUUUAUCUCUUUCUCCCCUCUCUCUCUAUUUAUCUAUCUAUCUGUCUACCUCCUUAUAUAUAUAUAUAUAUGUAUGUAUGUAUAUAUAUAUAUAUAUAUGUAUGUAUGUAUGUAUGUAUGUAUCUAACCCACCCCUCACUUCUGGUCAGUCCUCAUCACCUUCCUUCAUGCAUGACCCUUGGAUUAGCCUUUCUGUCUCUAUGUAGGUACCUACGUUUUCAAUGAACACACACACACAAACACACGCGCGCGCGCAACGACCGACAGAUAGAAAAACCUAGACGGAGAUCGCUUCUUCUAUGAUAUUUAGUCAACGCGGACAAGACAUUUUCAUUGUGAACUUUCUUAUAUUUACUUUUAAGGUAAUAAAUAUUUUUCUUUCGAAUAUUAUCAUAAUUGGCUUCAUCAUUUUGCGAAAGAAACAAGAAAAUUUCAUAAAAACUAAAUUAUAAAUAAUAUAUCUACUUGCGAGACUCGUGAAUAUUUCACAGAAUUAAUGGUAAGUUUAUAGGGUCAUUUCUGAAAUCUUUAUCAAAAAAACCCCCGAAAAUGUAACCUGUGUUGUGUCUGUAUCAAAAGAUAGUCGGUCGUCUGCUAUUCAGUGAAAAGCGAAGGUUUGUCUGAUUUAAAGCAGGACCCGUGAAUAUUUCACAGAAUUAAUAGUAAAUUUAUUGAGUUAUUCCUGAAGACUUUCUCCAAAAAACCCGAAAACGUAACCUGUGUUGUGUCUGUAUCAAAAGAUAGUUGGUCGUCUGCUAAUCAGUGAAAAGCGAAGGAAUGUCUGAUUUAUAGCAGCACCCGUGAAUAUUUCACAGAAUUAAUGGUAAAUUUAUUGGGUUAUUUCUGAACAUUUUCUCCAAAAAACCUGAAAACGUAACCUAUGUUGUUUGUAUCAAAAGAUAGUCUCUCAUCUGCUAAUCAUUGAAAAGUGAAAGAAAUUGGAAAACGAUGAUUAAUUAAUGCACUUUAUAUAUGCAUAUAUAUAUACGCUUUAUAUAUACACUUUAUAUACUUCAUACACAAUUUUUAUAGACUUAAUAGACUGCAUUCUCCCUCUUUUUCUCUCUCAUUUUUCGUUCGCUUUCGAAUUUCCCCUCAUCUAAUCAAAGGAAAGCGUUACAGACGGGCUAAGUAGCGGAGGAAAAAAAUAUUAGCUCAGAAAACAAUUUACACAUUUCACUCACUACCCCUCUCCCUGCUACUCCCCUCCCCUUCAC